CCUACGGGAGGCAGCAGUGGGGGAUAUUGGACAAUGGGGGGAACCCUGAUCCAGCGACGCCGCGUGAGUGAAGAAGUAUUUCGGUAUGUAAAGCUCUGUCAGCAGGGAAGAAAGAAAUGACGGUACCUGACCAAGAAGCCCCGGCUAACUACGUGCCAGCAGCCGCGGUAAUACGUAGGGGGCAAGCGUUAUCCGGAAUUACUGGGUGUAAAGGGAGCGUAGACGGUUAAGUAAGUCUGGAGUGAAAGGCCGGGGGCCAACCCCGGGACUGCUCUGGAAACUAUUGAACUUGAGUGCAGGAGAGGUAAGCGGAAUUCCUAGUGUAGCGGUGAAAUGCGUAGAUAUUAGGAGGAACACCAGUGGCGAAGGCGGCUUACUGGACUGUAACUGACGUUGAGGCUCGAAAGCGUGGGGAGCAAACAGGAUUAGAUACCCCAGUAGUC
rnacentral:rRNA from 1 species